rnacentral:rRNA from 1 species
AAUUGAAGAGUUUGAUCCUGGCUCAGAUUGAACGCUGGCGGCAUGGCUAAAACAUGCAAGUCGAACGAUUAAAGCUUCUUCGGAAGUAUAUAAAGUGGCGUAAGGGCGAGGAAUAUAUUUCUAUGUACCCCUAAGUCAAGGAUAGCCCAGGGAAACUUGGAGUAAUACUUGAUGUGGUCUCCGGAUCAAAGAUUUAUCGCUUAGGGAGCAGGGAAUAUCCUAUCAGGUAGUUGGUGAGGUAACGGCUCACCAAGCCAAAGACGGGUAGCGGGUGUGAGAGCAUGACCCGCCGCAUCGGAACUGAGACACUGUCCGGACUCCUACGGGAGGCUGCAGUAACGAAUAUUCCGCAAUGAGCGAAAGCUUGACGGAGCAAUGCCGCGUGUAGGAUGAAUCUCUUCGGAGUGUAAACUACUGUCAGAGACUAGGAACUCAAUGACCAAUCUCAAAGGAAGGGCCGGCUAACUUCGUGCCAGCAGCCGCGGUAAUACGAAGGGCCCGAGCGUUAUUCGGAAUCACUGGGCUUAAAGCGUACGUAGGCUGGUAUAUAGGCGUCUUGUGAAAUCCCUCGGCUCAACCGAGGAACUGCAAGGCGAACCAUAUAUCUUGAGACAGACAGAGGUCGUCGGAACGAUUGGUGGAGUGGUGAAAUGCGUUGAUAUCAAUCGGAACGCCGAAGGAGAAGUCAGGCGACUGGGUCUGUUCUGACGCUGAGGUACGAAAGCGUGGGUAGCGAACGGGAUUAGAUACCCCGGUAGUCCACGCCGUAAACAAUGUGCACUAGGUCGAGGGCGUUCUGACGCGACUCUCGGCCGAAGCGAAAGUGUUAAGUGCACCGCCUGGGGAGCACGGUCGCAAGGCUAAAACUCAAAGGAAUUGACGGGGGCUCACACAAGCGGUGGAGCAU